rnacentral:rRNA from 1 species
AACGAACGCUGGCGGCAUGCCUAACACAUGCAAGUCGAACGAGACCUUCGGGCCUAGUGGCGCACGUGUGCGUAACGCGGGGGAACCUGCCCUUAGGUUCGGAAUAACUCACCGUAAGGUGUGCUAAUACCGGUGAAUCUAUUCGGACCAAAGAUUUAUCGCCUUUGGAUGGGCCCGCGUUGGUUUAGCUAGUUGGUAGGGUAAAAGCCUGCCAUGGCGACGAUCCAGAGCUGGUAUGAGAGGAUGCCCAGCCACACUGGGACUGAGACACGGCCCAGACUCCUACGGGAGGCAGCAGUGGGGAAUAUUGGACGCUGGGCGAAAGCCUGAUCCAGCCAUGCCGCGUGAGUGAUGAAGGCCUUAGGGUUGUAAAGCUCUUUUACCCGGGAUGAUAAUGACAGUACCGGGAGAAUAAGCACCGGCUAACUCCGUG